rnacentral:miRNA from 1 species
UGCAAGUGACGAUAUCAGACA